UACGGAGGAUCCAAGCGUUAUCCGGAUUUAUUGGGUUUAAAGGGUGCGUAGGCGGAUUGAUAAGUUAGAGGUGAAAUGUCCGAGCUCAACUCGGGAACUGCCUCUAAUACUGUUGAUCUAGAGAGUAGAUGCGGUAGGCGGAAUGUAUGGUGUAGCGGUGAAAUGCAUAGAUAUCACGCAGAACUCCGAUUGCGAAGGCAGCGCACCGGCACCCUACUGACGCUCAGGCACGAAAGCGUGGGUAUCGAACAGG
rnacentral:rRNA from 1 species